GGAGGAAAGUAGGGGAUCGAAAGACCUUGCGCUUUGGGAGCGGCCGAUGUCUGAUUAGCUAGUUGGUGGGGUAAAGGCCUACCAAGGCGACGAUCAGUAGUUGGUCUGAGAGGACGACCAGCCACACUGGGACUGAGACACGGCCCAGACUCCUACAGGAGGCAGCAGUGGGGAAUUUUGGACAAUGGGCGCAAGCCUGAUCCAGCAAUGCCGCGUGAGUGAAGAAGGCCUUCGGGUUGUAAAGCUCUUUCAGUCGAGAAGAAAAGGCUGCAGUGAAUAGCUGCAGCUCAUGACGGUAUCGACAGAAGAAGCACCGGCUAACUACGUGCCAGCAGCCGCGGUAAUACGUAGGGUGCGAGCGUUAAUCGGAAUUACUGGGCGUAAAGGGUGCGCAGGCGGCUUUGUAAGUCAGAUGUGAAAUCCCCGGGCUUAACCUGGGAAUUGCGUUUGAAACUACAAAGCUAG
rnacentral:rRNA from 1 species